UUGUUGGGGUCUAAAGUGUGGCCCGCAGGAACAUUCUUUUACCAAAACAUAAUUAGGUAAACUUUUUACAGUUUGGUGGAAAAAAUAAUAAGAGUUUAAUUGGAUUAUUUUAAUAAUUUAUUGUUUUUACUUAUUUUAACAGCAACCGAUAUUUUGUCCUGAGUUUCUGGACAGCCUUCACUAAUCCAUCCAUCCUUUUUUUCUAUAACCGCUGCUUCCAUACAGGGUCGCGGGGGAGCUGGUGCCUAUCUCCAGCAGUCUACGGGUGAGAUGCAGGGUACAUCCUGGACAGGUCGCCAAUCCAUCACAGGGCUAACAACAAUGCAUACUCCCAUUCACACCUAAGGGCAAUUUAGAGAGGCCAAUCAACCUAACAUGUUUUUGAGAUGUGGGAAGCUGGAGUACCCAGAGAGAACCCACGCAUGCACGGGGUGAACAUGCAAACUCCGCACAGAAAGACCCGGGCCGGGAGUCGAUCCCAGGACCUUCUUGCUGCAAGACAACAGUGCUACUAACUGUGUCACUGUGCAGCCCUUCCUAAUCCAUUACAAGGGACUACUGUUACAAAAAGACCAUCUUAGUUUACUGAGGAUCCUUGCACAGGGAGCUUGUGUCAGGAUCUCUCUCUGUCGGGAUAAGUUGAGAAAUCACGCUGACCCAUAGAAGCAGAAGCUGGAGCUGAGACGUAGAAAAGACGGAGCAGAAGCUGAAGAGUCAUACUGACCUUCAGCAAAAGCAGGAGCUGAAGCAUCUGGCUGACCUUCAGCGGAAGGAGCAGCUGAAGUGUCAAGCUGGACAUCAGCAGGGGCUGAAGCACUCUUAAAACUCAAGGGUUCUUCAGGUUCCCCUGCCGGCCUCCAAGGAUCCUGAUUUGAGACCGAAACUUCCAGACCAAGUUUACAGAGGGUCCUCUACGCACCGUGGUUGGCCACCAGACGACCUGCUCCUUUGUCGCCGGCCUCCAAACCAUAUGCUCCUUCGCCACAGCCUCCAGACCCUCGUCACUGUCGCAGACCUCCUGGACUCCUACUCAGUCGUCGCUGCCCUCCUAGAGGUCCCUGUCAUCGCUACCGGCAUCAGCUGCCAAGAUCUCUACACCUCUGGUCUCAUGAACUCUGUGCUUCCUCGGGACAACCUCCAACCCAUCCACCUGAAGUCUGUUUCUGCUCGGGACGACCCCGAAAGCCAUCCACCUGAAGUCUGUUCCUGCUGUGUCUCUUCGGGACGACUUUACGACCGUCUUCCUGAACAAUGGCCCCCUCCGCCUGCCCUGGUCAGGUUGUUUUAAGUUCUUGAUUCUUUUAUUUUGUUGGCUCUGAAGAGCGUCUUGGAUCCGCCCUUAAAGGGGAGAUAAUGUCAGGAUCUGUCUUUGUUAGGUUUUGGUGUUUAGCUGGUUUCUCUGUAAUUCUCUGUCUGUGUUUUUUAAGUUACUGUUCAUAUUGGAUUAGGCUCAUGAUUUAUUCUUGUGUUUAGACUACUUUCUGGAUUCCUGUGUUGAGUUGGUUUAUACUUUCCUUAUAGAUCUAGUUCCCCCUUGUUAAUGUUCUUUAGUUAGUCUCAUUGUUUAUUUACUCCAGUUCAUUUCGAUGUUUUUCUGUAACCUCCCUGUACUCCCUGCUCAUUUGUGUUAAUUAGUCUCUCUCCCUCAGUAUUCCUUAGGCUCCCUUCUGUCCCUGCUGAUUCUGUCCCUGAUUAGCCUUCUCAGUUCAUUGGUACUCCACUUCCCCCAAUAUUUACACUUUCUGGUUUGUAUUGUUUCCCACUGAUUCCUCCUAAUGUCUACCCUGAAACUGUUCACAACCCUGUUUGCUAUCCUGGAUUCCACCGCGCCCAUGUUCAGUGU